GUUGACCUCGGAUCAGGUA
rnacentral:rRNA from 40 species